rnacentral:miRNA from 1 species
CGGGCGUGGUGGUGGACG